rnacentral:rRNA from 1 species
UGGGGAAUUUUGGACAAUGGGCGCAAGCCUGAUCCAGCCAUGCCGCGUGAGUGAAGAAGGCCUUCGGGUUGUAAAGCUCUUUCGGCGGGGACGAAAUGGUUCGUGCCAAUACCACGGACUGAUGACGGUACCUGAAGAAGAAGCACCGGCUAACUACGUGCCAGCAGCCGCGGUAAUACGUAGGGUGCAGGCGUUAAUCGGAAUUACUGGGCGUAAAGCGUGCGCAGGCGGUUUGUUAAGACAGGGGUGAAAUCCUGGGGCUCAACCCCAGAACUGCCUUUGAUACUGGCUGUCUCGAGGUCGAGAGAGGUUGGUGGAAUUCCUAGUGUAGAGGUGAAAUUCGUAGAUAUUAGGAAGAACACCAGUGGCGAAGGCGGCCAACUGGCUCGAUACUGACGCUGAGGUGCGAAAGCGUGGGGAGCAAACAGGAUUAGAUACCCAGUAGUCCCUGAGCGGGCUGGCAAGGCGCAU